rnacentral:tRNA from 1 species
GCGGAAGUAGCUCAGUUGAUAGAGCAUUAGCUUUCCAAGCUGAGCGUGGAGGGUUUGAACCCCGUCUCCCGCUC